rnacentral:rRNA from 1 species
CAAAGUUUUAAAUAAGAAAAAAAUAAAAUUGUUUGAAAAUAACUUUAUUAUAUAUAACUGUAAAGCAAUUUUGUUAUUUAUAUUAUUAUAAGUAAUUCUUUAUGUACCUUUUGUAUCAGGGUUAAUUAAAUUACUAAAAGUAAAUUUUAUUUCCCGAAAAAAAAAGAUUUAAGUGAUUAAAAUUACUACUGUAGUAAAUUUAGAUUAAAUUUUCACUUAGUUUAGAAAAUAAAAUCGGUUUUUUAUAUCUGGUUAUCUAAGUAAUUAAUUCAAUUAAUUUUUUGCUAAACAAAGUUUUGGGUAAAAUAAAAUUUAGUUAGGGAUAAUCUUGAUUAAAUUGAAAAAGCUAAAAUAAAAAGUUUAUAUAGUAUGAAUAGAAAUGAUUUUCAAUUAAUUAAUUUUUAAUUAUAAAAUAAACUUAGUUCUAAUCUAUAAGUUGUUUUUCUUAUUUAUUGGAUUAUUUAUAUUAAUUAGUAUAGUUAAACUAAUAAUGAUUGAAUUAGUAUAUAUUUAAAGUAAAAAUUAGGAACUCGGCAAUUUUGUUUCCGCCUGUUUAUCAAAAACAUGUCUGUAAGAUAAAAGUUUUUGGUUUGACCUGCUCAAUGCUUAGGUAAAUAGCUGCAGUAUUUUGACUGUACAAAGGUAGCAUAAUCAUUAGUCUUUUAAUUGGAGGCUUGUAUGAAUGGUUUGACGAGAAAUAAGCUUUCUUAUUUUUACAGUUGUUGAAUUUUAUUUUUAAGUUAAAAAGCUUAAAUGGAUGUAAGGGACGAGAAGACCCUAUAGAAUUUAAAAUUAAAUUUAAUUUUUUGUUGGGGUGAUAGUAGUAAAACUUCUAUUUGUAAAAUCUUACAUAUGUGUAAUUUAAGGAUCCUUUUAUAAAGAAAAAAGAAAAAAUUACCUUAGGGAUAACAGCAUAAUAUUUAUAUCAAGAUCUUAUUUAUAUAAAUGAUUAUGACCUCGAUGUUGAAUUAAAUUUAUUUGUGGGGGCAGUUUUUCACAAUUUUAGUCUGUUCGACUAAAAAAAUUUACAUGAUUUGAGUUCAAACCGGUGUGAGCCAGGUUGGUUUCUAUCUUUUUACAAUAAGUUUAUUUUAGUACGAAAGGAUUAAGUAAGCAAAUUUUAAUUUUAGGAAAAAGAAUAAAUUUAAUUCU